UCUCCAUGCUGCACUAACCUGGAAACGAAUUUCUUGGGCGAUCAGGAUUACAGCGUUUGUUGGUAGAGGGCACAGCCCCUCGGCCUGUUGCCAGAGUCUUAGCCGGGGUCAGUCUUUUGCCCAGGAGCUCAAGAGGCAGGAAGUCAUCCUGCGGGAGGAAGACGUGAGAGAAGCAGCGGUUGCUGUUGGAGGAGAGCUCCCUCCACCUAGAAUUCCUGUUGGGAGUACUGCGUUUAUAUUUGGGGAACUUCACAUUGUGGCCUGGCUGGAUACCUCUAAGUCCCACGUGCAACCUGAAGCAGAUACUUAGCCAAUUAACACCUGUGGAUUUUUUCAAUCUCAGCCAAAGGGCAGGAUUGGAAGUACUGAGGCAGAGCAGCCGUGAUGGUUGUUUGAUUCAGGUAAGGACGCCACUUUUUUCCAUCACUUUCUUCUGC